UACGUAGGGGGCAAGCGUUGUCCGGAAUCAUUGGGCGUAAAGAGCGUGUAGGCGGCCCGAUAAGUCCGCUGUGAAAGUCCAGGGCUCAACCCUGGAAUGCCGGUGGAUACUGUCGGGCUCGAAUCCGGAAGAGGUGAGUGGAAUUCCUGGUGUAGCGGUGAAAUGCGCAGAUAUCAGGAGGAACACCCAUAGCGAAGGCAGCUUGCUGGGACGUUACUGACGCUAAGGCGCGAAAGCGUGGGGAGCGAACAGG
rnacentral:rRNA from 1 species